UGCAAGUCGAACGGCAGCACGGGUGCUUGCACCUGGUGGCGAGUGGCGAACGGGUGAGUAAUAUAUCGGAACGUACCUUAUUGUGGGGGAUAACGCAGCGAAAGCUGUGCUAAUACCGCAUAAUCCCUUAGGGGGAAAGCGGGGGACCGUAGGGCCUCGCGCAAUUAGAGCGGCCGAUACCUGAUUAGCUAGUUGGUGAGGUAAAGGAUCACCAAGGCAACGAUCAGUAGCUGGUCUGAGAGGACGAUCAGCCACACUGGGACUGAGACACGGCCCAGACUCCUACGGGAGGCAGCAGUGGGGAAUUUUGGACAAUGGGGGCAACCCUGAUCCAGCAAUGCCGCGUGAGUGAAGAAGGCCUUCGGGUUGUAAAGCUCUUUUGUCAGGGAAGAAACAGCAGCUCUAACACAGUCUGCGAAUGACGGUACCUGAAGAAUAAGCACCGGCUAACUACGUGCCAGCAGCCGCGGUAAUACGUAGGGUGCAAGCGUUAAUCGGAAUUACUGGGCGUAAAGCGUGCGCAGGCGGUUAUGUAAGACAGGCGUGAAAUCCCCGGGCUUAACCUGGGAAUUGCGCUUGUGACUGCAUAGCUAGAGUAUGUCAGAGGGGGGUAGAAUUCCACGUGUAGCAGUGAAAUGCGUAGAUAUGUGGAGGAAUACCAAUGGCGAAAGCAGCCCCCUGGGAUAAUACUGACGCUCAU
rnacentral:rRNA from 1 species